GAGCGGCGCGCGAGCUUGCUAAGUUAGGGUUUUCUGUUUCUGCAUAUUAGCUGGGCUAGGUUAAUUGGGUUUAGUGGGUAGUUGGGCUAAUGUAAUGGAUUUAUUUGUUUUAGGCUGAGUAAUGUAAUUGGACAUUUGGACUGAACUUUUAUUUUAUUUGUUGUUUUUUUAUUUAUUUGUUUUAGUUUGUGUAGGCCCGGGCAAAAUGGGCCAUUACAGGGUAUCGAUACUUAUUGAUAUCGUUUUAGCGUUUUGCCAAUUUGGAAUUUUGAAAACAAUACCUUUUUAUUGAUACCUUUAAAAAGUACUGUUCUUUGACAAAUAAG
rnacentral:lncRNA from 1 species